rnacentral:rRNA from 1 species
GAUGAACGCUGGCGGCGUGCCUAAUACAUGCAAGUCGAGCGAACUGAUUAGAAGCUUGCUUCUAUGACGUUAGCGGCGGACGGGUGAGUAACACGUGGGCAACCUGCCUGUAAGACUGGGAUAACUUCGGGAAACCGAAGCUAAUACCGGAUAGGAUCUUCUCCUUCAUGGGAGAUGAUUGAAAGAUGGUUUCGGCUAUCACUUACAGAUGGGCCUGCGGUGCAUUAGCUAGUUGGUGAGGUAACGGCUCACCAAGGCAACGAUGCAUAGCCGACCUGAGAGGGUGAUCGGCCACACUGGGACUGAGACACGGCCCAGACUCCUACGGGAGGCAGCAGUAGGGAAUCUUCCGCAAUGGACGAAAGUCUGACGGAGCAACGCCGCGUGAGUGAUGAAGGCUUUCGGGUCGUGAAACUCUGUUGUUAGGGAAGAACAAGUACGAGAGUAACUGCUCGUACCUUGACGGUACCUAACCAGAAAGCCACGGCUAACUACGUGCCAGCAGCCGCAGUAAGAC